GCCGAGGUGGCGGAAUUGGUAGACGCGCUAGGUUGAGGGCCUAGUGAGGGUUAAACCUCGUGGGGGUUCGAGUCCCCCCCUCGGCA
rnacentral:tRNA from 1 species